AGUGAACGCUGGCGGUAGGCCUAACACAUGCAAGUCGAACGGCAGCACAGGAGAGCUUGCUCUCUGGGUGGCGAGUGGCGGACGGGUGAGGAAUACAUCGGAAUCUACUUUUUCGUGGGGGAUAACGUAGGGAAACUUACGCUAAUACCGCAUACGACCUACGGGUGAAAGCAGGGGACCUUCGGACCUUGCGCGAUUGCAUGAGCCGAAGUCGGAUUAGCUAGUUGGCGGGGUAAAGGCCCACCAAGGCGACGGUCCGUAGCUGGUCUGAGAGGAUGAUCAGCCACACUGGAACUGAGACACGGUCCAGACUCCUACGGGAGGCAGCAGUGGGGAAUAUUGGACAAUGGGCGCAAGCCUGAUCCAGCCAUACCGCGUGGGUGAAGAAGGCCUUCGGGUUGUAAAGCCCUUUUGUUGGGAAAGAAAUCCAGCUGGCUAAUACCCGGUUGGGAUGACGGUACCCAAAGAAUAAGCACCGGCUAACUUCGUGCCAGCCGCCGCCGUAA
rnacentral:rRNA from 1 species